UACGGGGGGAGCAAGCGUUGUUCGGAUUUACUGGGCGUAAAGGGCGCGUAGGCGGCCACCGCAAGUCAAUUGUGAAAUCUCCGGGCUUAACUCGGAAAGGUCAACUGAUACUGCGGGGCUAGAGUGCGGAAGGGGCAACUGGAAUUCUUGGUGUAGCGGUGGAAUGCGUAGAGAUCUGCAAGAAUACCCGUGGCGAAGGCGGCCAGCUGGGCCGGUUCUGACGCUGAGGCGCGAAAGCGUGGGGAGCAAACAGGG
rnacentral:rRNA from 1 species